UUAUAUUAAGUUUAGAAUUUAAUUUAAACUUAGAUUUAAGAUGAUUCACGCCGGAUAAAAGAAAAUGAAUUUAUUUUAAUUCCAACAAAAAUGAUUUACAAAAACAUUUGUAAAUUUAAUUAUUGAAUUUAUAUGCAUUGUAUAUUUAUUUAAUUUAGCAUUCAAGUAUUUUUUUUACGAGAUAUUUAUUUAGCAAACCCUGAAAUAUUUAUUACAGUCCCGAUAUUUUAUCUAUGUUACUAAUAACCACCCAAUAUCAUGAUAUAUUUUUUUUUACAUACAUGUGCAGACAAUCAAUUAUAUCUGCACAAUAAAAUCAUAUCUUUGAUAUCUUAUCAAAUAUUUGUCCACUUUCAUUUGCUUCCACUUUCUUUUAUUUUAUUUGUCCACUUUCUUUUGUUUCCAUUUAUUUUUGUUUUUAUGCAGUCAAAUUCCACUACACCAGAUCAGCCAAGUUUUCCACUACACCUAACAAAUCAGUCAAAUUUUCCUUCACUCACUACUCCACCAAAUUUCUUUCAUCGGCUCUCCAAAAUCAUUUCACCAGAAAUCUCCCCAAACUCAUUUCACCAGAAAUCUCCCCAAACCAAAGCAAACAUCCAUCUGUGUAUCAACAACAAAUCAGUGAAAGGUUUUGUAGACCGUGAGGACUAGCGCUGCUAUAUCAAUUCAGAGUUAAGAAUAAACGACAGGCAUUGCCUAAUCAGGUUGAUUGGUCGGUGCUGACGGGGCAGAGCUGAGGCUAGGGUUCAACUCCGUAUUUUGUCUUCCGCUGUUGCACUAGCU